rnacentral:rRNA from 1 species
UACGAAAGGGGCUAGCGUUGUUCGGAAUUACUGGGCGUAAAGCGCACGUAGGCGGCUUGGUAAGUUGGGGGUGAAAUCCCAGGGCUCAACCCUGUAACUGCCUCCAAAACUGCUAGGCUAUAGGAUGCGAGAGGUUGGCGGAAUUCCGAGUGUAGAGGUGAAAUUCGUAGAUAUUCGGAAGAACACCAGUGGCGAAGGCGGCCAACUGGCGCAUUUCUGACGCUGAGGUGCGAAAGCGUGGGUAGCAAAAAGG